rnacentral:rRNA from 1 species
CACGUAGGGUGCGAGCGUUGUCCGGAAUUAUUGGGCGUAAAGAGCUCGUAGGCGGUGUGUCGCGUCGGCCGUGAAAACCUGCAGCUUAACUGUGGGCUUGCGGUCGAUACGGGCAUCACUGGAGUUCGGCAGGGGAGACUGGAAUUCCUGGUGUAGCGGUGAAAUGCGCAGAUAUCAGGAGGAACACCGGUGGCGAAGGCGGGUCUCUGGGCCCGAUACUGACGCUGGAGGAGCG